rnacentral:rRNA from 1 species
AUUGAACGCUGGCGGCAUGCUUUACACAUGCAAGUCGAACGGCAGCGCGGGCUUCGGCCUGGCGGCGAGUGGCGAACGGGUGAGUAAUGCAUCGGAACGUGCGCAGUAGUGGGGGAUAGCCCGGCGAAAGCCGGAUUAAUACCGCAUACGACCUGAGGGUGAAAGCGGGGGACCGAAAGGCCUCGCGCUAUUGGAGCGGCCGAUGUCGGAUUAGCUAGUUGGUGGGGUAAAGGCUUACCAAGGCGACGAUCCGUAGCUGGUCUGAGAGGACGACCAGCCACACUGGGACUGAGACACGGCCCAGACUCCUACGGGAGGCAGCAGUGGGGAAUUUUGGACAAUGGGGGCAACCCUGAUCCAGCCAUGCCGCGUGCGGGAAGAAGGCCUUCGGGUUGUAAACCGCUUUUGUUCGGGAAGAAAUCCUCUGGGCUAAUACCCCGGGGGGAUGACGGUACCGGAAGAAUAAGCACCGGCUAACUACGUG